CAAUAGCGUAUAUUAAAGUUGUUGCGGUUAAAAAGCUCGUAGUUGGAUUUCUGUUGGGAACGACCGGUCCGCCCAUUGGGUGUGUAUCUGGCUUGUUCUCGGCAUCUUCUUGGUGAACGUUGCUGCACUUGACUGUGUGGAGCGCUACCCAGGACUUUUACUUUGAGGAAAUUAGAGUGUUUCAAGCAGGCAUAUGCCUUGAAUACAUUAGCAUGGAAUAAUAAGAUAGGACCUCGGUUCUAUUUUGUUGGUUUCUAGAGCUGAGGUAAUGAUUAAUAGGGAUAGUUGGGGGCAUUCGUAUUUAACUGUCAGAGGUGAAAUUCUAGGAUUUGUUAAAGACGGACUACUGCGAAAGCAUUUGCCAAGGAUGUUUUCAUUGA
rnacentral:rRNA from 1 species